rnacentral:lncRNA from 1 species
AAUAGAGACUAAAUAUAGAAUGAGCUCAAUUCAUUGUUUGUAUGUGUGUGUGGUGGAUAUGUGCACAUAUGUAUGUGUGUGCAGGAGGUCCAGUUGUGUGAAUAUGUAUGUGAAAGCUAGAUAUUGUUCUUCAAGUGCCAUCUCUCUAGGGUCUCUCACUGGCUUGAACCUUACCAAUGGGCUAAGCCGGCUGGCCUGAAAGUCCCAGGAGUCCACUCGUCCCUGCCCAUUCAGGAAUAAGACUGCAAGUACACUCCACCACAGCUGGCACUGUCUUAACAGCAGGCUCUGGUGGUCUCAUCAGGUCCCCUUACCUUCCUGGCAAGUGCUUUGCUGACUGAGCUAUCUCCCAGCCCUCGAUGUCAUUCUCAUACAUCUCAAUCACACUACAAAAUCCCAAGAGCUCUGAUCAAUGGACAUAGCCACAAAGAGAAAGGGGAAAGGCAUCCUGGAAAAGGAAGGGACAACAAAUUAAACUAAAGGUGAAGCCAAUCAAGUGUAAAUUGCAAAUAGGUUCUUUCAGAAAACUAAAAGUGUUAUCAAAUAUUAAGAUAAUUGUCUGAAUAGAGUCACUGUUCUUUAAGUAUUUUCCUUAAGGGUUUCCUCCUCCUCUCUUUCCCUUCCCCAGGAUCUUCACUCUUUCUUUUGGUUCUGUGAGUAAGAAAAUGGAAUGGAAUAGUUAUUUGAGAUCCCAUGUCCUGGAUGACUUGAUCAUGAGAUUGGAUUCAAACACAAAGAUUCCCUUUCCUGUGAUGUUGUCUUCACGGUAAAUACGUAUGCUAGUGCCUGUGGCCCUAGAUCUGUAGGAAGCACUGCUGAGCUUCUUGAUGAAUACAGAUGUAUACUGAGCACAUGAUGUUUUACAGAGCCGAUAAAUAUGACCUAAUAUUGACCAUAUUCCCUUUUUUCUUGUGUGUGUUUCUUUGUAGGUACACUUGUGGGGAUAUGCAUGUGGGUGUGUAUGUGGGAAGUUGGUACAUACACAUGUGUGCUAUGUAUAUGGAGAUCAGAGAAUACCUUGGGUGUUAUUCCUCAGGUGCCAUCCUCUUUGUAAAUGUGUGACAAGGCCUCUUCUUUGGCCUGAAACUCACCAAGUAGGCUAGGCUGGAUGAGAACUGAGACCAGGGAUCCACCCAUCUCUGCCUCCCCAGCCCUGGGAUUACAAUUAUCACCAUCCCUGGGAUUACAAUUAUCACCAUCCCUGGCUUAUUAAAAUAUGAGUUCUGGGGGAAUCAAACACAGAUCCUAGACAAGUAAUUUACCCACUGAGCUAUCUCCCCAGCUCUUCCAGAGUGCCUUUUAACUGGGUGACUGCCUCUUCUUAAACGAUGCAUCAAGUGAACACCGGGAAGGAAAACCACACAGUGGCUCCCUUAGCAGCAGUUACUGUGUGGCCUAAAUCUGUCACCGAGAUCUCAGGACUUAGGAAACUACCACACUGCUGCUUCCCAAGAAGGGCAGAGGCUCUGCAAGAGUUGAAGAGUAUCUGUGUGAGCAACAGAUUAAAGUUUUUGCUUUUAAGUUUAAAAACUCCAAAAGAACUGCUUCUAAGCAAGCAUUACAAAUGUUGCGUUGGCCCUUGCCUUCAGGGAGCUUGAGGGAGCGGAGCGUGGUACUUUGGAGCUUAGCAGAACAUUAAAGGGCUGUACAUCUCUUUCCUGCCACAGUGCCCAAGCAGAAAGAUCAUCUCUCAUUCUAAAAAGCUUUCACGUCUCAAGGUCCCUUGACCACACAGCUUCAUUUUGUGUGAGUUGUAUAUUGUUAUUUGUUUUGGAGGUCGGAUUACAUUUAUCUUUUUAAUGUUUUUCCUUUGGUUUCUUUUUUUCCGGUAUUGCUCUUUUGAGAAAAUGCACGUUAGGUUCAGAACUCAGUUAAUAUUCAUUAAGGACAAAAAUAUCUUCAGUGAGUUUUUUUUAAAACUGAUAGAUAAUAGAUCAACCUAAAUGUAUUUUUAAAAGACUGCUCUUAAAACUAUUUUUAAAGGUUAAGGAUACUGCCACACAGCAUAUACAUUAGUCAUUUUGUUUUGCAGGGUCUCACUAUGUAGCCUUGAUGGCCUGGAACUUACUAGUAGCCUAAACAAACAGGUCUUGAAUUCAUAGAGACCCUCCUGCCUCUGCCUCCCAAGUGCUAUGAUCAUUACACCACACCUGGCAGCUGUUGAUUUAAUGCACACAGUUUAGGAAAUGACAGCAAAGGAUGCUUCUUGUUCUAUCAGAUUAAAAUAAUGGCGAACAGCUUAGCUUGGAGUGGAGCAAGUGUGUUUCUCUACCUGAGACACCCAUUGGCUUCCAGUGCCUCGUGAACACAUUGUGAUUCUCACAGACUGAAGCUUCUUACUCUCCACAAAGUUGCCUCACCAGGUGCGUUCUGAAAUGAAUCUCGGUUCUGGUUAACUCCAAGUGCGUGCUGGGGAGUGCUCUGGUGACUAGUACAACUGGGCUUGCACUGAGUUGUCAGUUGUUGCACUGAUAAGGCAAAUGUAAGCAUUGGUAAAAUGUCAAACACUGCAGAGUGCUUUUUGAAAUGAGUUUUGUUUUGGCAGACUUUCUGAGAAGGUCUUCAGACUCCUAGGGAUUGUGGAUCACACUUUGAAAACCAGUGCUCUGAAAAGUCAUGUUGCUAUCCCAUGUAAUUAGC